rnacentral:lncRNA from 1 species
UUUCUCUAUAGACCGUGGCUACGCUUCUGGAUGAGCUGGGAGAUAGUCUAGCUGGACUAACCCAAACAGAAAGUCAAGACGACUGGGUGGAAUAUGGGGAUGCCGUGCUCCAGGCCACAAACAAGCUUGUUUCGACAUUGGUAGAACCGACUAUGACCGAAAACACCAGGAACCUUACCACCAACCACACAGAGGUGAGAAUCGAUUCAGUUGGACCAAAUGUCACUCUGUCUGAGACACCUACCAUUCACAUCAAAGACGCG